CCUACGGGAGGCAGCAGUGAGGAAUAUUGGUCAAUGGGCGCGAGCCUGAACCAGCAACGCCGCGUGAAGGAAGAAUGCCCUCGGGUUGUAAACUUCUUUUGUCAGGGACGAAGAAAGUGACGGUACCUGACGAAUAAGCCACGGCUAACUACGUGCCAGCAGCCGCGGGAAUACGUAGGUGGCAAGCGGUAUCCGGAUUUACUGGGUGUAAAGGGGGUGUAGGCGGGACUGCAAGGCAGAUGUGAAAUUCCAGGGCUCAACCCUGGAACAGCAUUUGAAACUGGAGUUCUUGAGUGAUGGAGAGGCAGGCGGAAUUCCGGGUGUAGCGGUGAAAUGCGUAGAUAUACGGAGGAACACCAGUGGCGAAGGCGGCCUGCUGGACAUUAACUGACGCUGAGGCGCGAAAGCGUGGGGAGCAAACAGGAUUAGAUACCCCGGUAGUC
rnacentral:rRNA from 1 species